AGGGAAUUUUCGGCAAUGGAGGAAACUUUGACCGAGCAACGCCGCGUGAACGACGAAGUACUUUGGUAUGUAAAGUUCUUUUAUCAAGGAAGAAAAGCAAGUGGUGAACCAUUUGUUUGCCGGUACUUGAUGAAUAAGCCCCGGCUAAUUAUGUGCCAGCAGCCGCGGUAAGACAUAAGGGGCAAGUGUUAUCCGGAAUUAUUGGGCGUAAAGGGUGCGUAGGCGGUCUAGUAAGUCAGUGGUGUAAUGGCAACGCUCAACGUUGUCCGGCUAUUGAAACUGCUAAACUUGAGUUAGAUAGAGGCGAGUGGAAUUCCAUGUGUAGCGGUAAAAUGCGUAAAUAUAUGGAGGAACACCAGAGGCGUAGGCGGCUCGCUGGGUCUUAACUGACGCUGAGGCACGAAAGCGUGGGGAGCAAACAGGAUUAGAUACCCUGGUAGUCCACGCCGUAAACGAUGAGUACUAAGUGUCGGGUUAAACCGGUACUGAAGUUAACACAUUAAGUACUCCGCCUGAGUAGUACGUACGCAAGUAUGAAACUUAAAGGAAUUGACGGGACUCCGCACAAGCGGUGGAUCAUGUUGUUUAAUUCGAAGAUACCCGAAAAACCUUACCAGGUCUUGACAUGUUUUUGCGAAACGGUAGUAAUAUCGUGGAGGUUAUCAGAAACACAGGUGGUGCAUGGUUGUCGUCAGCUCGUGUCGUGAGAUGUUAGGUUAAGUCCUAAAACGAGCGAAACCCUUAUCGUUAGUUGCCAGCACGUUAUGGUGGGGACUUUAACGAGACUGCCAGUGAUAAAUUGGAGGAAGGUGAGGAUCACGUCAAAUCAGCAUGCCCCUUAUGACCUGGGCUACAAACGUGAUACAAUGGCUGUUACAAAGGGUAGCUGAAACGCAAGUUCUUGGCCAAUCCCCAAAAACAGUCUCAGUCCGGAUUGAAGUCUGCAACUCGACUUCAUGAAGUUGGAAUCGCUAGUAAUCGCGAAUCAGCAUGUCGCGGUGAAUACGUUCUCGGGGUUUGUACACACCGCCCGUCAAACCACGAAAGUUGGCAAUACCCCAAAACGGUAGCCUAACUCGUUUAUCGAGAGGGCGCUGUCUAAGGUAGGGUCGAUGAUUGGGGUUAAGUCGUAACAAGGUAUCCCUACCGGAAGGUGGGGAUGGAUCACCUCCUUUCUAAGGAAACCAAUAAAAUCAAUCAUCUUCAGUUUUGAAAGACUUAGGAUAACUAAGUUUUUCUUCGUGACUUCACGAAGGGCCUAUAGCUCAGUUGGUUAGAGCACACGCCUGAUAAGCGUGAGGUCGGUGGUUCAAGUCCAUUUAGGCCCACCAGAGUUAUAGGUGUCGUAAGAACACAAAUUCUUUGAAAAUUAGGUAAAUAAUAGUUAUUUUUCCGGAACAUUAAAGGAAAUAAGAGCGCACAGUGGAUGCCUAGGCACCAAGAGCC
rnacentral:rRNA from 1 species